UGAGUCUCAGGCAAUGCCCAUCAGUUAUUACCAUUUCUGCACUGAGCCGGCAACCAUGCCCUUCACAGAAAAAUUAAGGAGAUACCCUCUGCCUAUUGCUAAAAAAGUAUCACUUACUAUGCAUGGAUUGCAGCAACCUAACAACUAGGGAAGCUGUGUUUUCCAGGACAGUCAGGCUCUACAAAGGGAGCCUUUCGUUGAUCACUGUUGAAGACUUACGUGGUUUGUAUAUCUAUCAUCAGUUAUUAUGUAGAAACAAGUUGGUGCUUCAUCAUGGUUUCUUUGCUGGUUCAUGUUUUGCAAGAGAGUAAUGAUGAAGUGGGAUAGAAUUCCCUAAUAAAAAACAGUUUAGGAGGAGAAGGGUGUCCACUGAUUAUAGGUCAUUAUAGAUUCUCCAUGCCACAAGUGCCUAUGUACAUUUCAAGGGGUGUCUGCGCUUUUUUGGCAAAAUGCAAGUACUCUUUCCAGAGUUCACCAUGUACCUUUCACAUCAUAAAAGAUUGAAAUUGCCAAAAAACUUGUGACUGCAGGUUUUUGUUCAAAUUAGGAUAUCUAAGGCAUCUCAUCACAGUAUCUAAAAAUUUUAUGAGCCUUUACUGACAUAAUAAUUAUGAGAAAUUAGCAAAUAAAAUUUCCACAUGAUAGCAAAGGUGAAAAAGAUAAGACUUACAAAACGUUCAAAAGGCUUCCCAUGAUAAAGGUGGGUAAUGCUACGGUACUUCUCAGUUUCAAUCUUCACAACCUGAAUUGUAUCUUUAAGUCUAAUGCUGACCUCAUUAAAGAUGGGAACCAUAAAUUGACAAGGACCACACCUGGGGACAAAAGCUCAAAUUAUAAGUAUUAUGCCAAUCAAGUUGCUCAAAGAUUUAUUAGAACAGGUAUCAUUGCUCCAAAUCUAUGGGGGAUGUACAUUACCAAGUAGCAUAAAAAUCAACUAAUACAGGUUUCUCAGAUUUGGCCAACAGAUCAUCAAAAGAGUUAUAUGUCUGCUUCUUAGCUUCAACCUGAAAAACAAGGAAUACAGGUAAGUGGAUGUUUCUCAUCUACAAAACAAAGAUAGGGUAAGAAUGUCACCAAAUGGUCCAACAUGGACAAGAGGAAGCACAUAUACAAGGGGAGCCAAUCAUGUUAUUAUCAUUAACAAUAGUAAACAGGACGCAGACAAAUAACAAGGGGAAAAAUUGCAUGACAUAUAACAAGGGAUAAAUGCAGUUGCUGAUUAGGAAGAAAUAUAUAUAUAUAUAUAUAUAUAUAUAUAUAUAUAUAUAUAUAUAUAUAGAUGCUGCAAAGCGGGUCUCUUUCUCUCCUACUCUCUUCAGUUACAUGGAAAUAGACUUGGAUAGUAACAUACUGGAAUCAUCCGAGAGACCAACAUAUAUAAAAUCUCCCAGCUAGUAGGAUAAAGUCUACAGUUGUCUGUCAUUGUUUGUGAUGAAAAGUACCAAAUCAACUCCUGCUAAGAGUUCGUGUGGUAUAGGUCAAACCCCAGGCUGCCCUAAAGAAGCUUUACAAAGAUGCCAUUGUAGGCCUUACUCCUAAUUUUUUAAAACUGUAGAUCAUUAUAGCUCUAUAUCACUUUCAUCAAUGUGCUUUAAGAUUCAGAUGAGAUGCUAACACGAGAAUGUAAAGUUCCUUAUACAUUAAAUGAGCAAACUCCUCAUAACAUAGCAACAGGUCCGAUUUCACCAGUUUGUUUCCUUCUAGAUAGAUCAUUUAUAGGUUGCAUUGUCCAAUGCAAAAUGAUGAAACCGUCGAAAUCUGUCUUCUUUGCUUGAGGAGGCAGAUAUGCAUUUGUAUGAAUUAUAUGAAACAGGUCAAUCCUAAAAUAUGCUCCAAGUAAUGACAUAAUAUAUCAAGUAAAGAAAAAGACACGAGACUGGUGAAAAGCAGAUAGAUGACCCGGCAUGACGUGCCAUUUUUUUUUUUCUAAUAGAUGAAGAUCAGCCAAGCGUGAAAUGACAUUGUUCAUGGUCACCUACUAAAGCACGUUCAUUGCAUUUAGGAAAAAAUCACUAUGGGUUUAGUAGGGAAAACCAUGGCAAGUGCAAUGCCAUGCAGCACGUAAAUAGCAACACGAGCUGUUUAGAUUGUCGCAUCAAUCUAUUCCGUACUGAAAAAUAUAGCUAACUAAAUCAUAAAAUAGAAUGAAGACGUGACACAUGAUAAUCACCCUGUUGAAAUUGAAGUCAAGCAGUGAAUAUGAAAAUUUGCCCAACGUUGUAUAAUUUAGAUUGCAUUGUUCGUUUGGAUGUAGUUCUAGAUAGAAUAGGAUAAGGUGAGACAAAAAGAGUUCUAAGAAAUAAUUACUUUUUUUCAGCCACAAAGAGACUUUCUUCUACGAGUAUUUGUCUGCAUGAGCUCUCGCUAAUGUUUUCAAGGAAGAAUAUAGCACAUAUCAACACAAGGGCGCGGCCAAAACUAAACCAAAUCAGUGUCUGAGGAAGCAACCGAGUAAGUGCAGAAGAAAAUAGGAAUCUUCAUUCCACCGUGAUGUUAGGAAGUUAUCAUCGCUUCCCUCAAUCGUAGAAUUUUAUGCCUGACCAUGUUUCUAAAGGCAUACACCACAGCCUUCGUGGCCUGAAUCUUUAGUUACCAAAAGCAACUCCGAGAAAGUGGCAUAUCUGUUCUUUAGAACCGGUCGUGUCAGAUGAAGCCAUCACAUGGUGGAAGCUCAGGAGCGACUCGUGGUGAAAAGAAAAUCUUGCCCCAAACACGAGAUAUAGAAAAGAAUGUAAAAUGUUCACC
rnacentral:lncRNA from 1 species